rnacentral:rRNA from 1 species
AGUGAACGCUGGCGGUAGGCCUAACACAUGCAAGUCGAACGGCAGCACAGUAAGAGCUUGCUCUUACGGGUGGCGAGUGGCGGACGGGUGAGGAAUACAUCGGAAUCUACUUUUUCGUGGGGGAUAACGUAGGGAAACUUACGCUAAUACCGCAUACGACCUACGGGUGAAAGCAGGGGAUCUUCGGACCUUGCGCGAUUGAAUGAGCCGAUGUCGGACUAGCUAGUUGGCGGGGUAAAGGCCCACCAAGGCGACGAUCCGUAGCUGGUCUGAGAGGAUGAUCAGCCACACUGGAACUGAGACACGGUCCAGACUCCUACGGGAGGCAGCAGUGGGGAAUAUUGGACAAUGGGCGCAAGCCUGAUCCGGCCAUACCGCGUGGGUGAAGAAGGCCUUCGGGUUGUAAAGCCCUUUUGUUGGGAAAGAAAAGCAGCAGGUUAAUACCCCGCUGUUCCGACGGUACCCAAAGAAUAAGCACCGGCUAACUUCGUG